AUUGAACGCUGGCGGCAGGCCUAACACAUGCAAGUCGAACGAGCGGCGGACGGGUGAGUAAUGUAUGGAAAACUGCCUGAUGGAGGGGGAUAACUACUGGAAAAGGUAGCUAAUACCGCAUACCAUCUGAUGAACCAAGAUGGGAUUAGCUAGUUGGUGGGGUAACGUAUCACAAAGGCGACGAGCCCUAGCUGGUCUGAGAGGAUGACCAGCCACACUGGAACUGAGACACGGACCAGACUCCUACGGGAGGCGGGAGGGGGGAAUGUUGCACAAUGGGCGCAAGCCUGAUGCAGCCAUGCCGCGUGUAUGAAGAAGGCCUUCGGGUUGUAAAGUACUUUCAGCGGGGAAGCGUUACCCGAAGAAGAAGCACCGGCUAACUCCGUGCCAGCAGCCGCGGUAAUUC
rnacentral:rRNA from 1 species